AUUGAACGCUGGCGGCAUGCUUUACACAUGCAAGUCGAACGGUAACAGGCCGCAAGGUGCUGACGAGUGGCGAACGGGUGAGUAAUGCAUCGGAACGUGCCCAGUCGUGGGGGAUAACACAGCGAAAGCUGUGCUAAUACCGCAUACGAUCUAUGGAUGGAAGCGGGGGACCGUAAGGCCUCGCGCGAUUGGAGCGGCCGAUGUCAGAUUAGGUAGUUGGUGGGGUAAAGGCUCACCAAGCCAACGAUCUGUAGCUGGUCUGAGAGGACGACCAGCCACACUGGGACUGAGACACGGCCCAGACUCCUACGGGAGGCAGCAGUGGGGAAUUUUGGACAAUGGGCGCAAGCCUGAUCCAGCAAUGCCGCGUGCAGGAAGAAGGCCUUCGGGUUGUAAACUGCUUUUGUACGGAACGAAAAGGUUUGGGUUAAUACCCUGGGCCGAUGACGGUACCGUAAGAAUAAGCACCGGCUAACUACGUGCCAGCAGCCGCCGUAA
rnacentral:rRNA from 1 species